CCUACGGGUGGCAGCAGUGGGGAAUAUUGGACAAUGGGCGAAAGCCUGAUCCAGCCAUGCCGCGUGUGUGAAGAAGGCCUUCGGGUUGUAAAGCACUUUCAGUGGGGAAGAAAGCCUUGGGGCUAAUACCCUCGAGGAAGGACAUCACCCACAGAAGAAGCACCGGCUAACUCCGUGCCAGCAGCCGCGGUAAUACGGAGGGUGCGAGCGUUAAUCGGAAUUACUGGGCGUAAAGCGCGCGUAGGCGGUCUGAUAAGUCGGUUGUGAAAGCCCCGGGCUCAACCUGGGAACGGCAUCCGGAACUGUCAGGCUAGAGUGCAGGAGAGGAAGGUAGAAUUCCCGGUGUAGCGGUGAAAUGCGUAGAGAUCGGGAGGAAUACCAGUGGCGAAGGCGGCCUUCUGGACUGACACUGACGCUGAGGUGCGAAAGCGUGGGUAGCAAACAGGAUUAGAUACCCGAGUAGUC
rnacentral:rRNA from 1 species